rnacentral:misc_RNA from 1 species
UUUCGUAGGUGAACUGCGGAAGGAUCAUUAAUAAAUGGCUCUGAUAUAAGAGCACUUAAUAAUCCUACCUUUGUGAAUUGUUGUUUGAAAUAAUUUUUUAAAUUAUUGAUUGUCUUUCCCUGUUGAAUUGGUUGUCCUUUUGACGGUUGAUUCGCAGGGGAUAGUCAGUAAUUUUUAAAAGACCUUUUUAAAAUUAAACUUUGUGUAUUCAUUUGUCUAAAAUUAUUUUUAUAAUAUAAAAAAACUUUUGACAAUGGAUCUCUUGUUCUCGCAACGGUGAAGAACGCAGCAAAAUGCGAUAAGUAGUGUGAAUUGCAGAAUACGUGAAUAUCGAAUUUCGAACGCAUAUUGCACUUUUUAGUUUACUAAAAAGUAUGUCUGUUUGAGUAUCAGUAAAAUAUUCUCAUAAAAACUUUUUUGUUUUAUGGUUAUGAGUGUUUACAACGAUACAAGUUGUUUCACUUUAAAUUUUUUAAAAUUUGGAUUUUUUCUAAUUUUAAAUAAAAUUGAUAAAAUUUUCCGUAAAAAGGAAUAACCUAACAAUUUUACUUAUUUAGAAGAAAUUCAACCAAAGGAAAUUUAACAAAUAACUUGAUCUCAAAUCAGAUAAGAGUACCCGCUGAACUUAAGCAUAUCAAUAAGCGGAGGAAAAGAAACUAACAAGGAUUCCUUAGUAACGCGAGUGAAGCGGAGAGCUCAAAUUUGAAAUCUUCAAGUUUACCUUGACGAAUUGUAGUUUAAAGAAGCGUUUUCUGUUGAAGUUUGGUAAAGUUCUUUGGAAUAGGAAUCAUAGAGGUGAGAAUCCGUAUUUGACCAUUAUUUUCAGCGUGUGAUACACUUUCAAAGAGUCGGAUUGUUUGGGAAUGCAGUCCAAAAUGGUGUAAAUUUCAUCUAAAGCUAAAUAUGCGAGAGACCGAUAGCGAACAAGUACCGUGAGGAAAGAUGAAAAGAACUUUGAAAAGAGAGUUAAACAGUACGUGAAAUUGUCAAAAGGGAAGCGUUUGACACCAGUGUUGUUUCCCGAAAUCAAUUAAAAAUGGCUGAUUCUGUGUUGUAUUGACUUAACAGCUUUCUUCACUUUUUUCCUGUCUUUUUAAUGCACUUUUCGUUUACAAGUCACAUCAGUUUCUUUUGUUGUAAAAGGGUCAUUGGAAGUGGCUUUCUUUUCGGAGAAAGUGUUAUAGCCUUUGAUCUCUGCAAUCGGAGAGACUGAGUCUGCAGCGUAGACUCUUCGGGUUAGAUACAUUGUGCUAAGUUAUAGCUUUUCAUAGACAACUUGUUGACUAUGUUUAGUCAUGUAGCUUACUCGCUUAUGCUAUUUACCUACGCUUAGGAUGUUG